GAUGAACGCUGGCGGCGUGCCUAAUACAUGCAAGUCGAGCGAACAGACGAGGAGCUUGCUCCUCUGACGUUAGCGGCGGACGGGUGAGUAACACGUGGAUAACCUACCUAUAAGACUGGGAUAACUUCGGGAAACCGGAGCUAAUACCGGAUAAUAUAUUGAACCGCAUGGUUCAAUAGUGAAAGACGGUUUUGCUGUCACUUAUAGAUGGAUCCGCGCCGCAUUAGCUAGUUGGUAAGGUAACGGCUUACCAAGGCUAGGAGGCGUAGCCGACCUGAGAGGGUGAUCGGCCACACUGGAACUGAGACACGGUCCAGACUCCUACGGGAGGCAGCAGUAGGGAAUCUUCCGCAAUGGGCGAAAGCCUGACGGAGCAACGCCGCGUGAGUGAUGAAGGUCUUCGGAUCGUAAAACUCUGUUAUUAGGGAAGAACAAAUGUGUAAGUAACUAUGCACGUCUUGACGGUACCUAAUCAGAAAGCCACGGCUAACUACGUG
rnacentral:rRNA from 1 species